AGAGGUCCCGUCCUCUGGAGCAGGCUGGCAUCUCACACUUCUUAUUAAAAGGGCUGUCUAUGUGUGUAGCUUUUUUUCUGUUGGCAAGAUUUUAUGUGGGCAGGUUUUUACAUUUUCUUGCCUUCUUGGUCUCUGUCAUUGUUUUUGGACAAAGGAACAUUGUGUGUUUUCUGCACUAUCUAUCCUAGAUAGAGGUUGGAGGAUCCCCUGGAUUUCCAAGCUACCAUAAUGGUAGCCAUCAUUUCUUUCUCUCCUUUUUGAAAAUCCCCCAUUUUUCAUCCCUUCACAUUGGGAGAUCUGCUGGCAGUGACGCUCUAGGGGAAGCACAGACUUGGUGGCCUUUUAUUCACCUUGUGUGAAGAACAGUUUUGAAGCAAUGGCACUUGCUCUCUCGGCAGCCCCAUCGCUGAUGACUAACAGUUCCUGAUGGGUGAAGCAUAAAGUGGACUGCUUUUUUUUUUUUUUUAAGAAUACUUUUGCUGGCAAGGCAUGACGUCGGAUUUUUCACUUCUGGAAACCUGCUUUCUAGCACCCUUGUCGGAAUUUGCGAUGUGAGUCAUAUCGACCUCAACAGGUUUCCUGCACUUCACCAUUUUGAGCCACUCUGCGAGGGGUGUGCAGAGUCAGGGUGAGGUUGGUGCUGCUGCGAUACCUUCUUGUCGCUGGGUCUUCCAACGAGCCCAUUGAUGCAGCGUCAGACCAUCUGCCCGGUGGAUGAUGCUGCCCUCGCCCAUGUGGGGCUAUUUCCUUCUCCGCAAGGGAGCACUUACAAACAAAGAAACCGAUGACAUCUCGGCAUUGGCAUUUCAGGGAGUGGGGAGCGCGUGCUCCAAGUGAGCGGGGAGGAUGAACGAGGCUUUCUCAGAUGAGUUUGUUUGCACAUAAGUUAAGAAGUAGAAGUAUGCAAAAAAAGCUGAAUAUAUGGUCCAUUUUGACUUGCACAAAUAUCUAUUUCACUGCCUUUUUUUUUUUUAGCAUCCUACAGAGGCAGUGUUGAGCAAUUCCUGUCUUGAACAGGUCAUUUCACAAGUGCUGUUUUGAUGGGUUUCUUUUUUCUAGUUUUGUUUUUACUGGGGUGUGUGGAUCUUCUGGAGAAUAUUGUCUUUGUCAUGAUUUAGCAUCAACACUCUGACCAAUAGUACAAAUACAAACUACUUACAGUUAUGAAUGGUCAAAAGACAGAAACUAGUUAUCACGGUUUGAGAAAUCAGAUAAUGCGAACCAGCUGCUUGGAAGCGUAACGUGACCGUCAGGGUGAAUUACGGAGGCAACUUCACUCACUUUCCACAGCAGCAUCAGGCCCUUGGCCUGAAACCAACCAUCAGGCUGGGUCACUCACGUGGUGGAGUUUUGGGGUGUUUUUUUGCCCGGUGCUGAGCAGCUCAUGCUGCGGGUUGAGAAAUCCCGGGGUUUCUUUUCCACCCCCCAACACACAGAUAAGCACGUGCCCCGGCCGGCGGUGCCGCACGUGACGGCGGGUCAUCCCCGCUGCUGCGAGGGAUGCUGCAGCAUCCCCGGUGCUGCCGGGGGACUUCUCGUGUGCCCCCGUCAUGGUUUCUGCUCCCAAACCACUAGUGUGAGAACACCACGGCCCCUGGGACUCCCCUGCGAGCCACGCCGCACAGGCUGCAGCCCGGGUUCUGAGCCGGUGCAUUACUCAACCAGAAAAGAAAUAUUGAUGGUCACACAGGCUGUAUUCAAAUCUGACGUUUCAGAGGCCCCUCUGAGAAUCCAGGGCAAAGGGAACAAGUUUCAUGGUGUGGAUUCCCAGAAUAAUCAUCCCGUAGACUGCUGCUGACAUCGCUGCCCUUUCAGAGAAAAAUGCAAUAAAAUAGAAUUGCUAG